GGUGAGUAACACGUGGGCAACCUGCCUGUAAGACUGGGAUAACUUCGGGAAACCGGAGCUAAUACCGGAUAAUCCAUUCCCUCUCAUGAGGGAAUGCUGAAAGACGGCAUCUCGCUGUCACUUACAGAUGGGCCCGCGGCGCAUUAGCUAGUUGGGGAGGUAACGGCUCACCAAGGCCACGAUGCGUAGCCAACCUGAGAGGG
rnacentral:rRNA from 1 species